GGGGAAUAUUGCACAAUGGGCGCAAGCCUGAUGCAGCAACGCCGCGUGAGGGACGACAGCCUUCGGGUUGUAAACCUCUUUUGGCAGGGAAGAAGCGAAAGUGACGGUACCUGCAGAAAAAGCACCGGCUAACUACGUGCCAGCAGCCGCGGUGAUACGUAGGGUGCAAGCGUUGUCCGGAAUUAUUGGGCGUAAAGAGCUCGUAGGCGGUUUGUCGCGUCUGCUGUGAAAACCCGAGGCUCAACCUCGGGCCUGCAGUGGGUACGGGCAAACUAGAGUGCGGUAGGGGAGAUUGGAAUUCCUGGUGUAGCGGUGGAAUGCUCAGAUAUCAGGAGGAGCACCUAUGGCGAAGGCAGAUCUCUGGGCCGUAACUGACGCUGAGGAGCGAAAGCAUGGG
rnacentral:rRNA from 1 species